rnacentral:rRNA from 1 species
AUACGGUGAAUACGUUCCCGGACCUUGUACACACCGCCCGUCAAGUCAUGGAAGCUGGGUGUACCUAAAGUCGGUAACCGUAAGGAGCCGCCUAGGGUAAAACUAGUAACUGGGGCU